AUAAAUAUGUGUAAAUAAAUGGUGUAAAACGCAGUUAUCUUUUGAUGGUCAUCAGAUAUGAUCCAUCUGGACGUUCAGAGGCUCUGUAGGGAACAUGGAAACACCGUCAACUUCUACAACAUUGAUUCACCUGUAAAACCCAUGA